AACCUGUUACAAGAAGACGAAAGACAUGAGAACAUUCCAUACAGCACCAGAAAAUUACUAGGCGAUUAUUACAUGAACAAGGGACUUAGGUGAAAUAUAACUGCAUGCACUUUUAAUAGGAGACAGGGAAGGGGAAAAACCUUAUCAAAAAGAUUAACAAGGGUAUGAGCUUACGUUACCUCAUAACAAGAGAUGGGGCUCGAGACAAUACCCUAUUACCAACAGCUACAUGUGUCCCAUCAGGUUUGUAAGUGAUGUUUAUAUUCUCUCCACUAAGUUCUGCCUGCUGUGUGCAUUUUCCACCUGUAUAACUCGAAGAAGACAUAUCUUAGCAAUUGAUAGUAAUAUUUGUGAAUGACACAAAGCUAAUCCAUUAGAAAAUUUACAGAUUUCUAAACCAAGCUCCAUGCAUAUUUCAGAAGCAAAACUAAACGAUUAAGAGAAUACUUCUCCAUAUGUAUUCAUCAUCAUCAAAAAUACACAGAAGUUCCCAUAGCUCAAAAGGUAAAGAAAUUACAUGACCGUGUGGUUCGAUAUUCCAAAUGCGAGUCGUUUGAUCAACAGAACCCGAAGCAAGAUUUGUUCCAUUAGAAUUCCAAGCUACAGAAUGUACCUUCAAUCCCAAAAAUUCCCCCAAAUUCAGCAAAAAAACUAGGAUUUCGCAAGUUUUAUUGACUACAGAAAAUUAGACUGGAGAUAGAAAAAAUAAAACCCUAAUUUUGGAGAUUCAACCACAAAAUACAAAAUUAAAUCACGAUUUACACUCAAUAAUUGCUUGAUUAAUACCUAAUUUGGAGCUUCCAUCACAGAUUUCACUCCAAAUCACUUUCGGUUCCGAUUGAGUUUGGUCUUCCUCCG
rnacentral:lncRNA from 1 species